CGCUGGCGGCGUGCUUCAUACAUGCAAGUCGAACGAGAAACUGACUUCGGUCAGUGGAAAGUGGCGGACGGGUGAGUAAAAUGUAGAGAAUCUGCCCUAGAGAGUGGGACAACAGAGGGAAACUUCUGCUAAUACCGCAUAUGCGCGUAGCUGAAAUGCUAUUCGUGAAAACUCCGGUGCUCUGGGAUGAGUCUGCAUCUGAUUAGCUAGUUGGCGGUGUAAUGGACCACCAAGGCGACGAUCAGUAGCUGGUUUGAGAGGAUGAUCAGCCACAAUGGGACUGAGACACGGCCCAUACUCCUACGGGAGGCAGCAGUAGGGAAUUUUGCGCAAUGGGGGAAACCCUGACGCCAGCAACGCCGCGUGAUUGAAGAAGCCCUUCGGGGUGUAAAGAUCUGUCAGUGGGGACGAAACUUGACGGUACCCACAGAGGAAGCAUCGGCUAACUCCGUGCCAGCCGCUGC
rnacentral:rRNA from 1 species